UAUUCUGCCCCACGGGGAAGGAUGAGAAGCUUCGACUAAGGUUCGACUCGAGCGAAGCGAGAGAACGUUGCCGCAGGCAACGGCCCGAAGGG
rnacentral:sRNA from 1 species